AGAGUUUGAUCCUGGCUCAGGAUGAACGCUGACAGAAUGCUUAACACAUGCAAGUCUACUUGAUCCUUCGGGUGAUGGUGGCGGACGGGUGAGUAACGCGUAAAGAACUUGCCUUGCAGUCUGGGACAACGUCUGGAAACGGACGCUAAUACCGGAUAUUAUGAUUGAAUCGCAUGAUUUAAUUAUGAAAGCUAUAUGCGCUGCGAGAGAGCUUUGCGUCCCAUUAGUUAGUUGGUGAGGUAACGGCUCACCAAGACGAUGAUGGGUAGCCGGCCUGAGAGGGUGAACGGCCACAAGGGGACUGAGACACGGCCCUUACUCCUACGGGAGGCAGCAGUGGGGAAUAUUGGACAAUGGACCAAAAGUCUGAUCCAGCAAUUCUGUGUGCACGAUGAAGUUUUUCGGAAUGUAAAGUGCUUUCAGUUGGGAAGAAGAAAGUGACGGUACCAACAGAAGAAGCGACGGCUAAAUACGUGCCAGCAGCCGCGGUAAUACGUAUGUCGCAAGCGUUAUCCGGAUUUAUUGGGCGUAAAGCGCGUCUAGGCGGUUUGGUAAGUCUGAUGUGAAAAUGCGGGGCUCAACUCCGUAUUGCGUUGGAAACUGCCAAACUAGAGUACUGGAGAGGCAGGCGGAACUACAAGUGUAGAGGUGAAAUUCGUAGAUAUUUGUAGGAAUGCCGAUGGGGAAGCCAGCCUACUGGACAGAUACUGACGCUAAAGCGCGAAAGCGUGGGUAGCAAACAGGAUUAGAUACCCUGGUAGUCCACGCCGUAAACGAUGAUUACUAGGUGUUGGGGGUCGAACCUCAGCGCCCAAGCUAACGCGAUAAGUAAUCCGCCUGGGGAGUACGUACGCAAGUAUGAAACUCAAAGGAAUUGACGGGGACCCGCACAAGUAGCGGAGCAUGUGGUUUAAUUCGAAGCAACGCGAAGAACCUUACCUACACUUGACAUCCCUUGCAUUACUCUUAAUCGAGGAAAUCCCUUCGGGGACAAGGUGACAGGUGGUGCAUGGUUGUCGUCAGCUCGUGUUGUGAGAUGUUGGGUUAAGUCCCGCAACGAGCGCAACCCUUGUCGUUAGUUACUACCAUUAAGUUGAGGACUCUAGCGAGACUGCCUGGGUUAACCAGGAGGAAGGUGGGGAUGACGUCAAAUCAUCAUGCCCCUUAUGUGUAGGGCUACACACGUGCUACAAUGGCUGGUACAGAGAGAUGCAAUACCGCGAGGUGGAGCCAAACUUUAAAACCAGUCUCAGUUCGGAUUGUAGGCUGAAACUCGCCUACAUGAAGCUGGAGUUACUAGUAAUCGCGAAUCAGAAUGUCGCGGUGAAUACGUUCCCGGGUCUUGUACACACCGCCCGUCA
rnacentral:rRNA from 1 species